ACUUUCUGUUUUAUUACAGUAUUAAAGUAGAUGGCGGAAAAUUCUGAUUCCCUAAAGGCACCGAAGAGCUCCUUUAAACAAGUACAUGAAAUAGCACAGAAACUUCAUAUAGAGAUCAAAGUAGAUUAUGAAAUUCAGACAGAGGGAUUUCUGGCCACUCUUCAUCUUGGAGAUGACACAUUCACAGGAACUGGAAGUAACAAAACGACUGCAAAAGACAAUGCUUCGGAAGAGGCGUUAGAAAUUUUGAGUUUAAAAUCAACUCCGACUCCGGAGAAGAAAGGGACAGAAAAAACAGCGGUUACAGAACUAAACGAGCUUUGUCAAAGACUUAAACAACCAAAGCUACGUGUAAGUUAUGAUGAGGCAGUAUCGGAAGGGGGCGAAUUUGUGUGUAAACUUGUCAUCAUCCACGAGAAAGAGGAAGGAGGAGAUGAUGAGGAGGAACAUAUAGGAAAGGGGAGGUCCAAGAAGGAAGCAAAGCAUAACUCGGCCUCCACUGCGUUAAAGAGAAGUUACAUCUUACAGUCGUUCAUGGACGAUUCUUGUGCUCCUACGACGGGAAGAAGCUACGAGUGCAGACAAACACAAACUGGAUAUGCGCUGAUCGUGUGUUUCACUAAAGACAGAGACUGGGCGGAUCAAGACAUAAAUAAUAUUAUAGGAUUUAUGGAAAACACGCUAAAGUUCCGUUGUAUAGUUGUAAAAGACCCUAAAAAAGAUGAACUGAUGCAAGUACUUGAAAAGACGGCCACUCACCUGAACGACAAUGCUAGAGACUACUACUGUUUUACAUUCUUUAUUAUGGGUCAUGGGAACCAGUUUGGGAUCAGAACAGUCGACAAGGGCAAAAAGAGAACAAUAAGUGUAGAUGACAUUUUAGAACACUUCAAAAAUAACAAAAUUCCUGCUUUCACAGUUGUCGAGGUGAAGCUUACCAAGAAACGAUGGUUCAACCAGACAAUGACGAAGAAGAGGAUGAUGCAGAGAAGUUCCGAGUACCAACCGAUGGAGACAUCUUUAUUGCUUAUUCCACUACGGAGGGAUACAGAUCAUACCGUCAUAAGGCUGUAGGCUCAAUAUUUAUCUACAACUGUGCAAGUAUAUUUGAGAAAAAUUACCCUAGCACUCACUUAGAGGAAAUGAUGAUAGACGUAAAAGCAGUCACUGCACUCGAUCCAAGAUGGCAACGAACUAAGGACAAAAAAGAGAUUGCUCAGAUGCCGUGCUCUUGGAGUACAUUGACAAAACGAUUUUAUUUUAUAGCUGCUACGUUGUAAUAGAACAUAAUUGAUAAUCUACCGCAGUACUGUUUGCUUUAGUUGCUCUUUUUAUCACUAUACAAAAUAAUUAAACUCUUUAGAUUUUUCUUAUUAAAUCUUAUUUUGUCGUGAAAAUGAAAAUAAAUAAAUUAGUAUCUAAAGUAAUGUCAAUGUGUUUGCAUGUAAAUAUACCGGAAUAUACCGGUAUAUCCUGCUUGAAAAUUGAGUUGUAAGUGAUAUUGAAACAAAUAUGAAUCAUGAAAGUAUAAAAAAUAAAAGCAUGAAAUGUCCAAACUUGUGUACUUAGCCUAACUAUAUGUAAACGACGUACUUACGACUAAUUUUAAAACACUUUGAAUAAAUGAAAUUAAGAACACAAUAAACUGUAGCUUUCCGUGGAAAUGUCAAUUUUUGAAAUCAAAAGGCAUCUGACAUAUGUUGCCUUCCUUACUUUCUAAAUGGUCACAUAUAGUCCCUUAAAGUUUUGAUUGAUUUGUUUUUGCCACCCACAUUGUUACUAUAGCUGGAAUAUGUAGACUCGCCUACAUGUACAUCGGUGCAUGGUCGUAGGUAUCGUUUUCCUGUCUUGUACGAUCUCUCCUUAUAAGAUGAUCAUAUUGAUCUUCCAUCCUUCCUAAGUACACGUUGUCUUCUCUUGAUGUCUUGUAUCGUGCUACCAUAUAUGUAUCAUCAUUUGCAUCAUUUGUCGGAACGCUUUCUCUGAGAUGAUGAUACACAUCCUCGUUUUCUUGUUUAUAUUGAGUUUCCUCUUCUAAUUUACUGUUGUCUGCGAAAUCAUACAGACAUGAUUUUGGCGAAUUUGCAACUACAACUCCAUCACUCCUCGUCUGUUCCUUUCUGUUUGAUCCCCUCUCUCUUGCGUCUAGUGUGCUUGAUUGUUUCCGCUUACUAACUAUUUGUUUUCUUUUACAUGAAAAAUAAAAUUGAAGUUUAAA
rnacentral:misc_RNA from 1 species